UGACCUCGGAUCAGGUAGGGAUACCCGCUGAACUUAAGCAUAUCAAUAAG
rnacentral:rRNA from 8 species